rnacentral:lncRNA from 1 species
CAGGAGGGAGCCGGGAGAUUACGCAGCUCCAUGUAGGUCCACGUUUAGGUUGGGAGGAUCUACCAUGAAGAAGGUCAAGAAGAAAAGGGCCUCUGAUUCGCGCCGGCCCGCAUUCCUGCUCCUGUGCCACUUGCCCCUGCAGCUCCGCUUGCUGGCGUCGUCUGGGGCUAUGCCAUAGCCGCAUCUUCGAUGUCCUUCUGCCUCGGGACUGGCAGAUGGCGCCAGGGAGAGGACUCCCCAACCUGCUCACCUUCUACAGAAAAUCUUCAAGAAAACCCUCCAGUCAUCGUAACGCGUGUCCUCCAAGCCCUCGGAACUGUGGCUGUGGCUCU